rnacentral:rRNA from 1 species
UCUGAGCGGUGGAUCACUCGGCUCGUGCGUCGAUGAAGAGCGCAGCCAACUGCGUGAAUUAGUGUGAAUUGCAGGAUAUCUUGAACAUCGACAUCUUGAACGCAUAUUGCGGCCUCGGGUUUUCCCCGUGGCCACGCCUGGCCGAGGGUCGGUUUAGCAAACUAUCGCUGUAUCUUUUUUGUAAUCAGCGUAUUUGGGAGACUGCUUUUUUGGCUUUUGAGUGUGUCUGUGCUGGCCUUUUUUCAGUACACUCCACCAAAAGCUAAUUGGCAUCUCUUUAAAGUCUCUGAGUUUACUCACUUGACUUGUAUUAUUACUAACAAGUAAAGGGAGGAAAGUGCAGACAUGCAUCUUUAUUAUGCAUGUAUGCGUGCCGGUAUGGCUCGAAGAGUUGUACCGCGCAACGUAUGCAUGUGUGUGUUUUGUAUCUUUUGUCUCCUUCCUAAAAAAUUACUUGUGUGUACAAGUCAAAUAUUCUUUGCCUGACCUCGGAUCAGACGUGAUUACCCGCUGAAUUUAAGCAUAUUAUUAAGCGGAGGAAAAGAAACUAACAAGGAUUCCCCUAGUAACGGCGAGUGAACGGGGAAGAGCCCAACACCGAAUCCCUUGGCGCAAGCUAAUGGGAAAUGUGGUGUUAAGGUUGCCCUUCGUGCCAGUCUAGGCGUCUCAAGUCCACCUGAUUGUGGCUCAAGCCCAGAGAGGGUGUAAGGCCCGUAGAGACGCUCCGACUGGUUCCUGGGGUUUACCUACGAGUCGGCUUGUUUGGGAAUGCAGGCCAAAGCGGGUGGUAAACUCCAUCCAAGGCUAAAUACUGGCACGAGUCCGAUAGCGGACAAGUACCGUGAGGGAAAGUUGAAAAGAACUUUGAAGAGAGAGUUCAAUAGUACGUGAAACCGCUUAGAGGCAAACGGAUGGUGCUCAAACUGGCCCAGGGAAUUCAACCGUGUCGGCGGUUGGGCAGGCUAGCGUUAGAUCUCUCUUUUGAGACUAAUCGUUGGUCUGUUCCAGCUUCGACGCGGUGCACUUUCCCUGGUGCCUUCGCCACGACCGACGACACUGGCUACCCGCGGCUGGGGUAAGGUGACAUCCUGCUUCGGCAGUUUGUGUUAUAGACCCCGGCGUCGGACUUGUUUGGCCAGGACGUCGAGCUAGCGGCGCCCGCUCCUUGUGGGCUCGUAUGUUGGUUAGCUUGGCUGUGCCGAUGCUUGUACUGGAUAACCAGUGCAGGCGACGGUUGCGGUCUUGUCUGGCUGGCCUCUGCGAGUUUGGCGCCUAUAGUCUGUGGUGUCUUUGUGGGUAGACUAUCCGACCCGUCUUGAAACACGGACCAAGGAGUCUAACAUGUGCGCGAGUCAUGGGGAUUCUACGAAACCCAAAGGCGCAGUGAAAGUAAAGGCUUGCUUCUCGCAGGCUGAGGUGGGAUCUCGUGCAUCGCGAUUGGCGAGCGCACCACCGGCCCGUCCUAUCAGUCUCUGUCUGUGGGGCGGCGCAAGAGCGUACACGUUGGGACCCGAAAGAUGGUGAACU